ensembl:lncRNA
UACACAGAGAGACUGGAAAGAGUGAACUAACAACUGGGAGUAUCUAAAAAGGCUUCUUAAAGAAGGAAGUAUUUGAACUGAACCUUGAAGAGAAUUAUCAGGGUUUCCAACCAAGGAGCCACAGACACAGGUUACCAGUGUGUGGUCCCAAGCUGCUGUGACAAAGCAAUGAAGGCAUUCUCAGGGAUGGUGAAAUGCCUAUGAAGAGGCAGAGGGAAUGCUGAAUCCUGAGAAAAAUCAAGAGAACUGGGUCUAGAGAAAAGAAAUCACUACUAUAACAGAUCUGACAAAAGGACAUAUAUGUUCUGCUUAAGGAACUCCAAUGAGGAAAAAAAAACAUAUUUUAAGAUAGCUAGUUCUACUUCAAGGCAUUUCUACAUGAUAAGAAGAUGAAGGCAGAUCUAAAAGUGGCUUCAAGAUUGAAACACAAAAUUACAAAUCUACAUAUAUUCAUGUGUACAUAUCAUAUACGUAUAUAUACAUAAUACAUAUGGGUGUAUGUAUUAUAUGUAUAUUAUGGUUAUAUUCAUCUCACAAGAAUAAGAUGAAGAAGGUGGG